rnacentral:rRNA from 1 species
GUCUACGGCCAUAUCACCUGAGUGCUCCUGAUCUCAUUCGAUCUCAUCAGCUAAGCAGGGUCGGGCCUGGUUAGUACUUGGAUGGGAGACAGAUCUUCAGAGGAGCCUACUCAGAGACACGCAGUUUGGAGACA